AAUUUAAUUUAAUUUUAUUUUUAAUUUUUGGUAAUUUAUUUCACAUAAUUUUAUUUCACAUCAUUUUCUGUUGUGAACUUCCCCAAAAGUGUCUGUCAUUGUAAAUAGGUUCCGCCCUAUUGUUUUCUAUUACAUACCUUUUUGUUUCCCUGGGGGGUGAUUUGGCGUUGCACCUGUGUGACCAGCUUCAGUGAGCACUGACUCCUGCAGCUGUGGAGAGAGAUACUGUGGACUGUAUGUGACGCCCUUUUCUUUUUGUCCCUAUGAAAAAGCAUAAGUUUGAGUUUGAGUGAGCACUGACUCCUGCAGCUGUGGAGAGAGAUACUGUGGACUGUAUGUGACGCCCUUUUCUUUUUGUCCCUAUGAAAAAGCUGGUGAAUAAAUCCUCCUCAACUCGAA